rnacentral:rRNA from 1 species
GAUGAACGCUGGCGGCGUGCUUAACACAUGCAAGUCGAACGGAACUACUCCAAUGAGAGUCUUCGGAAAGGAUUUGGUUUAGUUUAGUGGCGGACGGGUGAGUAACGCGUGGGUAACCUGCCCUAUACAGGGGGAUAACAGUUGGAAACGACUGUUAAUACCGCAUAAGCGCACAGGAGCGCAUGCUCCGGUGUGAAAAACUCCGGUGGUAUAGGAUGGACCCGCGUCUGAUUAGCUGGUUGGCGGGGUAACGGCCCACCAAGGCGACGAUCAGUAGCCGGCCUGAGAAGGUGAACGGCCACAUUGGGACUGAGACACGGCCCAAACUCCUCCGGGAGGCAGCAGUGGGGAAUAUUGCACAAUGGGGGAAACCCUGAUGCAGCGACGCCGCGUGAGCGAAGAAGUAUCUCGGUAUGUAAAGCUCUAUCAGCAGGGAAGAAAAUGACGGUACCUGACUAAGAAGCCCCGGCUAACUACGUG